rnacentral:lncRNA from 1 species
GCAGGAUCUAGGCUUAUACAAUCAAGUGAAGAAACUAUCAGGUCUGGUAAGAAUAAGAGGAAACAAAAUGUUAUUGGCAUGCUCAAUAAUGAUAAAGCCAAGAUGUCACCUGCCAGUACAAUGAAGAGGGACUGGGGUCUUGGCACUAAAAGGUGCAACUGAAGGAACAGAGAAACUGUGUAAUUGUAAAACCUCCUUGUGGCCCCACAUGGCUCAUACUCAAAUGAUUCCAGUGUCUAUGGCCUGAGAAGUGCUUCAUGAAAUGAGGAACAGUGCCUCAAGUCAGAGAUUGGCAUGGUGAGUCGCCGGGAGGUGGAAAAGAGGCACAGCUUCAUUGAAGCUACAGUUGGCUGCAAGGAACCAUUUCAAAUCAUCUUAGUUCUACGGGGCCAUUCAGGUGGCAAAGGCCCAGGUAACAUUUGAUCAAGUUGCUACAGGGCUUGGACCUACUUUUAUUGCCCCUUACUUUUCCCACUAACAUUUUUGCUUGAAAUAUCGAUGUUUUUUUGGUGCAGCAAAACUCUUUUCCCACAGCUAAAUUGAAGUAGGGCAUAUGUGCUUCCCUCACCUCGCUCCCAGUCCCUCUUGACCCCGAAAUGGUCUAGCAGCCUGUGCUUUGUUAAACUGAAAAUGUGUAGAAAUUUUUAUAGAGAUAUUCAGCUAUAUAAAUAGCUUUGAAAUUUGUCAUAACUUUAAAAACAGGUCAAAAAGGAAAUUGAACAGCUAGUGAGUUUCUGUCUUAGUCCGUUUUGUGCUGCUAUAACAGAAUACCAUAAACUAGGUAAUUUAUAAACAAUAGAAGUUUAUUUGUCUCAAUGGCCAACAAGCAUAUGGAAAAAUGUUCAACAUCACUAAUUAUCAGGGAAAUACAAAUCAAAACCACAGUGCGAUACCACGUAACUUCUGCAAUAAUGGUCAUAAUCAAAAAAUAAUAAUAAAUAAAUAGAUGUUGGCAUGGAUAUGGUGAAAAGGGAACACUUUUACUGGGUUGGUGGGAAUGUAAACUAGCACAACCACUAUAGAAAACAGUAUGGAGACUCCUUAAAGAACUAAAAGUAGACCUACCAUUUGACCUAGCAACCCCACUGCUAUGUAUCUGCUCAGAAGUAAAGAAGUCAUUAUACAAAAAAGACACUUGUUACAUGCAUGUAUAUAGCAGUACAAUUGCCCAAAUGCCCAUCAAUCAAUGAGUGGAUAAAAAAUGUUAUAUACAUACAUAUAUGUGUGUGUAUAUAUACAUAUACAUAUACACACACACACACAUACACACACACACACACACACACACACAUAUACCAUGGAAUACUGCUCAGCCAAAGAAAGGAAUGAAAUAAUGGGAUUUGCAGCAACCUGGAUGGAAUUGGAGGCUAUUAUUCUAAGUGAAGUAACUCAGGAAUAGAUAACCAAACAUACAUGUUCUCACUCAUAUGUGGGAACUAAGCUAUGAGAAUGCAAAGGCAUAAGAAUGAUAUAUUGGAGUUUGGAGACUCAAAGGAAAGAGUGGGGGAGAGGGAGGGAUAAAAGACUACACAUUGGGUACAGUAUACAAUGCUUGAGUGAUGGGUGCAACAAAAUCUCAGAAAUCCCCACUAAUGAGCAUAUUCAUGUAACAAAAUACCAUCUGUUCCCCAAAACUUAUUGAAAUAAAAAAUAAAAAAUUAAUGAUAAUAACAAUAAAAAGAAGUUUAUUUGUCUUAUGUUUCUGGAGGCCAGGAAGUCCAAGAUCAAGGGGUUGCAUCUAGUGGGGGUCUUCUUGCUGAGUCAUAACCUGGCAGAAGACAUCACAUGAAGAGAGAAUGGAUGAGAGCCAGCAAGCAAGAGAGGGCCAAACUUGCUUUUAUAACAAACCCAUUCCUGACAUCAUGAACUUACCCCUGCCAUAAUGACAUUAAUCCAUUCCAGGGGGCAAAGCUCUCAUGACCUAAUCACCUCUCAAAAGUGCCACCUCUCGAUGCUGUUGCAUUGGGGAUUAAGUUUCCAACACAUGAACUCUGGGGAGAUGCAUUCAAACCUUAGCAGUUUAA